UAUACCUACGGGACGCAGCAGUGAGGAAUAUUGGUCAAUGGGCGCGAGCCUGAACCAGCCAAGCCGCGUGAGGGAGGAAGGUACAGAGUAUCGUAAACCUCUUUUGUCAGGGAACAAAGGCGGGGACGUGUCCCCGGAUGAGUGUACCUGAAGAAAAAGCAUCGGCUAACUCCGUGCCAGCAGCCGCGGUAGUACGGAGGAUGCGAGCGUUAUCCGGAUUUAUUGGGUUUAAAGGGUGCGCAGGCGGUCUGUUAAGUCAGCGGUCAAAGCCCGGGGCUCAACCCCGGCCCGCCGUCGAAACUGGC
rnacentral:rRNA from 1 species